GAAUAUUGGACAAUGGGCGGAAGCCUGAUCCAGCAACGCCGCGUGAGGGAUGACGGCCUUCGGGUUGUAAACCUCUUUCAGCACCGACGAAGCGCAAGUGACGGUAGGUGCAGAAGAAGGCCCGGCCAACUACGUGCCAGCAGCCGCGGUAAUACGUAGGGUCCGAGCGUUGUCCGGAAUUAUUGGGCGUAAAGGGCUCGUAGGCGGUUUGUCGCGUCGGGAGUGAAAACACCGGGCUUAACUCGGUGCUUGCUUUCGAUACGGGCAGACUGGAGGUAUGCAGGGGAGAACGGAAUUCCUGGUGUAGCGGUGAAAUGCGCAGAUAUCAGGAGGAACACCGGUGGCGAAGGCGGUUCUCUGGGCAUUACCUGACGCUGAGGAGCGAAAGUGUGGGGAGCGAACAGG
rnacentral:rRNA from 1 species